rnacentral:tRNA from 1 species
GGCCGGAUAGCAAAGUGGUAAUGCCGGGGACUGCAAAUCCUCUACCGGCGGUUCGAGUCCGCCUCUGGCCUCCA